AUUGUUGAAUCAAGCAAAACUGUUGUGAAACACAGGAUGUGAUUCUCUGAUUAACUCUUUUCUUUCUAGGACACAUGCAGUGUAUCAGAUCCUAGCAGCCUGUCAGUGCGUGUCCUCCAGAGCUUUCUAGCAUCCUGGAUUCUCUCCAGAAGCAUGGAAACAAGUUCAGCCAGACAUUACUGAGGCACAUUCCAGAAAUACUGUAUGGACAGAAGGGAAAAGUGCAAGGUUAUCGUUCGGGGGUUUUGGACACAUUCCCAUCUGCUGUCAAGGAGUUGAGCAUUGCAUAACGUCUCUUACAAAUAUGGUUAAGGAAAUGCACAAAAUCAAGACAACUACCUGGUCAGCUGAGAAAGCAGGAGAGAGAAUGAACGUUAACUGCAAUUUAAUGUACAACUGAUUUUCAGUAUAUGACAUUCCAAAACAUCAAGAAAUUUUACUUGCUUCUGGUGAGGAAAAUGCCUUAGUCAUAUCACUUGGAAAAAAAUAAUUACGCUACACAUACUCAUUUACACAGUUACAGCUUGCUAGAAGCAGCCUGUUUUUCCACAGCUCACUUACAGAGUUCUUUGAAGAUGUGCUGAUACUUCAGCAUCAGCAAUAUUGUCCCUACUGGGGGAAAGUAUUCCUGCGGGGUGUUAUAACCGUGCAAGAAAACAGCAAGAAUGAUGCAAGACCAAAAUAUUCCUG
rnacentral:lncRNA from 1 species